UAAUGAGGAGCGUCGAGCAAAAGUAGUCGCGAUCGCGCGGUUCGUUCACGGACUUUCGCGGCGAAAGGGCAUCGACGCCGAAACGUUUAUCUUCUCGUGGACGGCUAAGCGUUGGGUGCAGCGGCUAAAUCCCUGCAACUGUCAUUCAUUUCGAAUGGAGCACA
rnacentral:ncRNA from 1 species